GUUGACCUCAGAUCAGGUAGGAAUACCCGCUGAACUUAAGCAUAUCAAUAAGCGGAGGAAAAGAAACCAACAGGGAUUGCCCUAGUAACGGCGAGUGAAGCGGCAACAGCUCAAAUUUGAAAUCUGGCGCAAGCCCGAGUUGUAAUUUGUAGAGGAUGUUUCUGGCGACGUGCCUUCCGAGUUCCCUGGAACGGGACGCCAUAGAGGGUGAGAGCCCCGUACGGUUGGAUGCCUAGCCUCUGUGAAACUCCUUCGACGAGUCGAGUAGUUUGGGAAUGCUGCUCUAAAUGGGAGGUAUACGUCUUCUAAAGCUAAAUACCGGCCAGAGACCGAUAGCGCACAAGUAGAGUGAUCGAAAGAUGAAAAGCACUUUGAAAAGAGGGUUAAAAAGUACGUGAAAUUGUUGAAAGGGAAGCGUUCAUGACCAGACUUGGGCAGGUUGAUCAUCCGUGGUUCUCCGCGGUGCACUCUGCCUGCCCAGGCCAGCAUUAGUUCGCCCCGGGGGGAUAAAGGCUUUGGGGAAUGUGGCUCCCUCGGGAGUGUUAUAGCCCACUGUGUAAUACCCUGGGGGUGGAUGCUGUAGAGGAUUCCCCUCCUGCAAGGAAGCUGGCGUAAUGGGCAUCAACGACCGUUGUGGAAGAAGGGGCAGA
rnacentral:rRNA from 1 species